UACGUAGGGCGCAAGCGUUGUCCGGAAUUAUUGGGCGUAAAGAGCUCGUAGGCGGUUUGUCGCGUCGGCUGUGAAAACCUGGGGCUCAACCCCGGGCCUGCAGCCGAUACGGGCAAACUAGAAUUCGGUAGGGGAGACUGGAAUUCCUGGUGUAGCGGUGAAAUGCGCAGAUAUCAGGAGGAACACCGGUGGCGAAGGCGGGUCUCUGGGCCGAUAUUGACGCUGAGGCGCGAAAGCUAGGGGAGCAAACAGG
rnacentral:rRNA from 1 species